rnacentral:rRNA from 1 species
GAAGGGACCUAGCGUAGUUCGGAAUUACUGGGCUUAAAGAGUUCGUAGGUGGUUAAAAAAGUUGGUGGUGAAAUCCCAGAGCUUAACUCUGGAACUGCCAUCAAAACUUUUUAGCUAGAGUAUGAUAGAGGAAAGCAGAAUUUCUAGUGUAGAGGUGAAAUUCGUAGAUAUUAGAAAGAAUACCAAUUGCGAAGGCAGCUUUCUGGAUCAUUACUGACACUGAGGAACGAAAGCAUGGGUAGCGAAGAGGAUUAGAUACCCUCGUAGUCCAUGCCGUAAACGAUGUGUGUUAGAUGUUGGAAAUUUAUUUUCAGUAUCGCAGCGAAAGCAAUAAACACACCGCCUGGGGAGUACGACCGCAAGGUUAAAACUCAAAUGAAUUGACGGGGACCCGCACAAGUAGUGGAGCAUGUGGUUUAAUUCGAAGAUACGCGCAGAACCUUACCAACACUUGACAUGUUCGUUUCGACUCUAAGAGAUUAGAGUUUUCGGUUCGGCCGGACGAAACACAGGUGCUGCAUGGCUGUCGUCAGCUCGUGUCGUGAGAUGUUGGGUUAAGUCCCGCAACGAGCGCAACCCUUACUUUUAGUUGCCAUCAUUUAGUUGGGCACUCUGAAAGAACUGCCAGUGAUAAGCUGGAGGAAGGUGGGGAUGACGUCAAGUCCUCAUGGCCCUUAUGUGUUGGGCUACACACGUGCUACAAUGGCAUUUACAAUAGGAAGCAAGAUGGCGACAUUAAGCAAAUCCUAAAAAAAUGCCCUAGUUCGGAUUGUACUCUGCAACUCGAGUACAUGAAGCUGGAAUUACUAGUAAUCGUGGAUCAGCGUGCCACGGUGAAUACGUUCCCGGGUCUU